AGAGUUUGAUCCUGGCUCAGGAUAAACGCUGGCGGCAUGCCUAAUACAUGCAAGUCGAACGAGAACCACUUCGGUGGAUUCUAGUGGCGAACGGGUGAGUAACACGUAAGAAACCUGCCCCAAAGACGAGGAUAACCAUGGGAAACUAUGGCUAAUACUGGAUAGGAUAUCGGAACGCAUGUUCUGAUAUUUAAAGACGCGAUUGCGUCGCUAUGGGAUGGUCUUGCGCUGUAUUAGCUAGUUGGUGAGGUAACGGCUCACCAAGGCGACGAUACAUAGCUGGUCUGAGAGGAUGAACAGCCACACUGGGACUGAGACACGGCCCAGACUCCUACGGGAGGCAGCAGUAGGGAAUUUUCGGCAAUGGGCGAAAGCCUGACCGAGCAAUGCCGCGUGAAUGAUGAAGGUCUUCGGAUCGUAAAGUUCUGUUGUUAGGGAAGAACGACAAGAGUAGGAAAUGGCUCUUGAGUGACGGUACCUAACCAGAAGUCG
rnacentral:rRNA from 1 species